UACGUAGGUGACCAGCGUUGUCCGGAUUUACUGGGCGUAAAGAGCGCGCAGGCGGUCGUUCAAGUCGAGUGUGAAAGCCCCCGGCUCAACUGGGGAGGGUCACUCGAUACUGAUCGACUUGAAGGCAGGAGAGGGAAGCGGAAUUCCCGGUGUAGUGGUGAAAUGCGCAGAUAUCAGGAGGAACACCGGUGGCGAAGGCGGAUCUCUGGGCCGAUACUGACGCUGAAGCACGAAAGCGUGGGGAGCAAACAGG
rnacentral:rRNA from 1 species